CAGUAGCCGCGGGAAUACGAAGGGGGCUAGCGUUGCUCGGAAUGACUGGGCGUAAAGGGCGCGUAGGCGGUUUUGACAGUCAGAUGUGAAAUUCCUGGGCUUAACCUGGGGGCUGCAUUUGAGACGUCAAGACUAGAGUGUGAGAGAGGGUUGUGGAAUUCCCAGUGUAGAGGUGAAAUUCGUAGAUAUUGGGUAGAACACCGGUGGCGAAGGCGGCAACCUGGCUCAUUACUGACGCUGAGGCGCGAAAGCGUGGGGAGCAAACAGGAUUAGAUACCCCUGUAGUACCUGUCUCUUAUAA
rnacentral:rRNA from 1 species